UACGUAGGCAGCGAGCGUUGCUCGGAAUCACUGGGCGUAAAGGGUGCGUAGGCGGGUCUUUUAAGUCAGGGGUGAAAUCCUGGAGCUCAACUCCAGAACUGCCUUUGAUACUGAAGAUCUUGAGUUCGGGAGAGGUGAGUGGAACUGCGAGUGUAGAGGUGAAAUUCGUAGAUAUUCGCAAAAACACCAGUGGCGAAGGCGGCUCACUGGCCCGAUACUGACGCUGAGGCACGAAAGCGUGGGGAGCAAACAGG
rnacentral:rRNA from 1 species